ACCCACCCAAAUUUCAGUUUUCUUCAUCAAAUCAACCCAUCCAAAUUCGGAAAAUUCAACCCCCAAUAGUGCCUAUAAAUACCCAUUAUUUCCUCCCUCAAUUCACCACCACCACCAAUCCACUGUCUUUGCCGGAAAAUUUUCAUCCUCGCCGGAAAAACGCCUCCAAAACCACCCCCAAAACCUCUGUUAUUUUUGCCCCUCACCACCCCUCUCUCUCCCCUCUAUUUUCGUUCAACCACAACAGCACCUUCGCGGCUGCCACCGCCACCCUCCUUUCACCCAAAUCGACCUCCACCCUCUGGCCACCAGCGUGCGCCCUCGACCGACGAACCACCUCUCUCUUUCGCUGGACCUUAUUCUCUCCCUCUCGCCCAGUUCAUUCUUCCCUCUCCCCUGCUUGGUCUGCUGCGCGCACCGCCAGACCACCGCCGUGCCUCUACCGCCAUUUUGUCCCUCGCCUCGCCGUCCAGACGUCGGAGCCCGACCUACUCCCAACCGACCUCCCUCGUCUGCUCUCUCUUUUCACGUGUGCUCAGUUGGAGCAGGUAUGAGCAUAGCCAUUGCAAGAGCGUUGUUAAUAAGGAACGUGUUCAAGGGAAAUUGUGCAAUAUCUUGUAUUAGAGAAAUUAUUAUUAUUUGAGUCAAGUAUUUAUGUAUAAUUAUCAAGGACUAUUUAGGGUUGCAUUGUAUCAGUGUGCCAUGUCCCACAGGCUUAAAUUCCCUUUCCGCUGCUAAGUAUAAGAAAUUGUGUUUAGUUAAGGUUAUGAAUUUUCGGGGCGUUACAGUUGGUCAAUGGGAAGAUAGAUUUUGAGAGGGAAGAAACACCUUUCAAGGUUAAGGUGGGUAGUAAGAGGAAGAUGGGUGAAGAGGGAGUUCCAAGUGGGUCUGUGAGGAAGAGUCAGAGGUUAGCUGGGUCCAAGUCUCUGAAGGAGCAGGAUCAAGGUGAAACAGUGUUUAUUCACCUAGACUCGGAUCCAGUUCCUUCUACUGCUGUGGAUUUUCCGUUGCUGUCUACUACUGGGCUCAACAAGUUACUUCGGGAAAUUCAAGACUCAUUGACCCUUCUGCACGCCAGGAUCAAUGUCAUAGAGACCACUGUCUCUGUACUGGAUUCUCAGCGGCAACAACAAAUGAUCGAUAUCAAGAAUGCUGAUACGGGGAUCAGGAACAAGGUGGACAGAGGCGGAUCUAUGUGAGGACUUGAGUGGCACGUGCCCCACCAAAAAUAUCAAAAUUCUGUUUUUUAAGUCUGACUGUAUUUCUGGGUAAAGUAAAUUUAGCGUCCUUUUUUAUUACAAAUUGAGCUCUGUGCCAGUGGUUGAUGCGUUUGGGGUAAAGUAAUUAUGUUACUCAAGUCCUGUGUUCGAAUUUGUAUUCUAGCAGCAACUUCUUUAAUUGUUUGUCUUUUCAUUUUUUAGAUGUUGCAUCAUAAAUUUUUCUCUUUUUCCUUUUGUUA